rnacentral:rRNA from 1 species
UUGAAAGGGAAACGAUUGAAGUCAGUCGUGCUGGCGCGAAAUCAGCUCGACCACUAGAGAUCGCUGGCCGUAGCGAGCCUCAAAACCGCUACUACUUGUGAUUGCUUAGUGGCCUGGUGCACUUUCGUGUCGGCUGGUUAACAUCAAUUUCGAUCGUCAUAAAAAGGCUGGAGGGAUGUGGCUCCUUCGGGAGUGUUAUAACCUUUAGCGGAAUGUGGUGGUUGGGAUUGAGGUUUGCAACGAAUACCUUUAGGGCUGUUCCACCUGGCUUCUCAUCGGCAUCCUGGCGGCGACAGCUUGCUGACGUUGUUAGGAUCGGCCUUCGAACAGGCUAGAGUGUGAGCAAAUUCGUUAAGGAUGUUGACGUA